UAGGGAAUCUUCCACAAUGGACGCAAGUCUGAUGGAGCAACGCCGCGUGAGUGAAGAAGGUCUUCGGAUCGUAAAGCUCUGUUGUUGGUGAAGAAGGAUAGAGGCAGUAACUGGUCUUUAUUUGACGGUAAUCAACCAGAAAGUCACGGCUAACUACGUGCCAGCAGCCGCGGUAAUACGUAGGUGGCAAGCGUUGUCCGGAUUUAUUGGGCGUAAAGCGAGCGCAGGCGGAAUGAUAAGUCUGAUGUGAAAGCCCACGGCUCAACCGUGGAACUGCAUCGGAAACUGUCAUUCUUGAGUGCAGAAGAGGAGAGUGGAACUCCAUGUGUAGCGGUGGAAUGCGUAGAUAUAUGGAAGAACACCAGUGGCGAANGGCGGCUCUCUGGUCUGCAACUGACGCUGAGGCUCGAAAGCAUGGGUAGCGAAC
rnacentral:rRNA from 1 species